rnacentral:lncRNA from 1 species
AUGACGGGGUCUAGAAGGGUGAUGACGGGGUCCAGAAGGGUGAUGACGGGUGAUGACGGGCUCCAGAAGGGUGAUGACGGGGUCUAGAAGGGUGAUGACGGGGUCCAGAAGGGUGAUGACGGGUGAUGACGGGGUCUAGAAGGGUGAUGACGGGCUCCAGAAGGGUGAUAACGGGCUCCAGAAGGGUGAUGACGGGGUCCAGAAGGGUGAUAACGGGCUCCAGAAGGGUGAUGACGGGGUCCAGAAGGGUGAUGACGGGGUCCAGAAGGGUGAUGACGGGGUCUAGAAGGGUGAUAACGGGCUCCAGAAGGGUGAUGACGGGCUCCAGAAGGGUGAUGACGGGGUCUAGAAGGGUGAUAACGGGCUCCAGAAGGGUGAUGACGGGGUCUAGAAGGGUGAUGACUGGGUCUAGAAGGGUGAUAACGGGCUCCAGAAGGGUGAUGACGGGGUCUAGAAGGGUGAUGACGGGGUCUAGAAGGGUGAUAACGGGCUCCAGAAGGGUGAUGACGGGGUCCAGAAGGGUGAUGACGGGGUCUAGAAGGGUGAUGACGGGGUCUAGAAGGGUGAUAACGGGGUCUACAAGGGUGAUAACGGGGUCAGAAGGGUGAUGACGGGCUCCAGGGUCAGUCUGUUAUAUCUAGUGUAAUUCUACUGUCUUAUCUGGUGUCCUGUGUGAAUUUAAGUAUGCUCCCUCUAAUUCUCUCUCUCUCCCUUUCUCCCACCCCGCCCGGAAG